rnacentral:tRNA from 1 species
CCUUCGAUAGCUCAGUUGGAAGAGCGUGAGACUGUAAUGGCUACUUCAAUGGCAUCUCAAGGCCAUCGGUUCAAUCCCGAUUCGAAGGA